UUCCCCACCCACCCACUGGAGACAGGUUUCCAUGGAAACCAAAUCCAGAGGGAACAUUCUGAAGAGGCAGUUUGUCAAGCAAGGUGUGGAAAUACUGAAAGAGGGAUGUGAAAAGGAGUUGUUCCUGGAUGGUACGAUGAAGUGUGAACACACGUGUUCCUGGAUGGAAUGAUGAAGGGUGGACACACGUGUUCCUGGAUGGAAUGUCGAAGUGCGGACACAUGUGUUCCUGGAUGGUAUGAUGAAGUAUGGACACACGUGUUCCUGGAUGGAAUGUCGAAGUGCGGACACACAUGUUCCUGGAUGGUAUGAUGAAGUGUGGACACAUGUGUUCCUGGAUGGUAUGAUUAUGUGUGGACACACGUGUUCCUGGAUGGUACGAUGAAGUGUGGAUACAUGUGCUCUGGAUGAUAUGAUGAAGAAACAUUCAGGUUGCCCCGUAAAGCACAACCUGGUUCAAGUCACUAAGUUCUUCAGUUGUGUCUGUGCAAGUGUCCAGUUGGUGACCUUUUGAUGCCAGAGGGUUGAAAAUAGUUCCAAUGCUGCCAUUUUAUGAACAUGGAAAGGAGAGCCUGUGAAGAGGCCUGACUGGAGUAUGUAUGAGCAGAACAUGGCUUACUCUAUCCUGUCUUCCAGGCAUGGCCACUGGCUUGAAAUCAGAAUGUCUGUGAUUGCCUGCACAAGACCCUCAUAAGAGCAGGCCUGUCAGCAGCCAUCAGAUGGACUAGGUUGAAUAUAGGUUAAAUUCAUUUGGGGAGAAGUCACUUACAUAAGAAACCCAUGACCCACAAGUUCCUAUUCAGAGGAUCCACACCCACACCCAGGCUGCUCUCUGUGACCAGACCAGAACGAAGAGAGCAGAGCGAGUCAUCUGUCCCCUCCCCCCCCCCCCAUCC